rnacentral:rRNA from 1 species
UACGUCGGGUGCGAGCGUUAAUCGGAAUUACUGGGCGUACAGCGUGCGUAGGCGGUUCGCUGUGUCCGAUGUGAAAGCCCCGGGCUUAACCUGGGAAUGGCAUUGGAAACUGGCGGGCUUGAGUGCGGCAGAGGGGGGUGGAAUUCCGCGUGUAGCAGUGAAAUGCGUAGAGAUCCGGAAGAACACCGGUGGCGAAGGCGGCCUGCUGGGACAUGGCUGACGCUGAGGCGCGACAGCGUGGGGAGCAAACAGG